rnacentral:rRNA from 1 species
GGCCUCAGGAAACAAAAUGUGGAAAGGUAAAAAUGAUUUGAGGUCUAGCCUGCCCAAUGAUGGGUUGUUUGAAUGGCCGCGGUAUUAUGACCGUGCAAAGGUAGCAUAAUCACUAGUCUUUUAAUUAAGGGCUUGUAUGAAUGGCUGGACGAGGGGAAUCCUGUCUUCGAAUAAAGGGUAAAAUAUUGAAGUUUACUUUUAAGUGAAAAGGCUUAAAUGUAUUUGGGGGACGAUAAGACCCUAUAGAUCUUUACACCUGGAUUUAAACUGUAAAUGGGUUAAGGUGUUGGGUUGGGGCGACAGGAAGAUAUAAUAAACUUUUCUAUAUUAAUUUUACUAAUGAGUAUGUUUUUGAUCCAUGUGUAGUGAUUAUAAGACCAAGUUACCUUAGGGAUAACAGCGUAAUCUUUUUUGAGAGUUCAUAUCGACAAAAGGGGUUGCGACCUCGAUGUUGGAUUAAGGUUUCCUUGUGGUGUAGAAGCUAUAAAGGAGGGUCUGUUCGACCUUUAAUUCCUUACA